rnacentral:rRNA from 1 species
UACGGAGGGUGCAAACGUUGCUCGGAAUUAUUGGGCGUAAAGCGCACGUAGGUGGUCCAGCAAGUCGGGUGUGAAAGCCCUCGGCUUAACCGAGGAAGUGCAUUCGAAACUACUGGACUUGAAUACUGGAGAGGAUCGCGGAAUUCCCGGUGUAGAGGUGAAAUUCGUAGAUAUCGGGAGGAACACCGGUGGCGAAGGCGGCGACCUGGGUAGAUACUGACGCUGAGGUGCGAAAGCGUGGGGAGCAAACAGG